GCGGGCGCGAAAAGUUUUUGCUGCGUCAUGUUUUUUCUUCGAUUCAAAAUUCUCUAAUUUUUCUGAUAAUCUUUAUUUUGUUAUUACAAAUAAGUGAAUU